AUUAAAACGAAGAUGAGAAGAGUAAUUAGUUAACUCUGAUAAAGAGAGUCCGAAUGGUGAGACCGGAUAUUGAGAAGACUGAUGAAGAUGAGCUCAGAGAAAGCUAACUGGUUCACGCUGGUUGGACGGUAGCAACCGUUACAUUGCCGGGUAUCGCUCUUAUUAGGGUACCAGUGAGGUCUAUUUUGUGAGAAAUAGACAAAGUAAGGUGGUACCGCGAAAGCAUUCGUCCUUUAA
rnacentral:ncRNA from 1 species